rnacentral:rRNA from 1 species
GGAUCCAGACUUUGAUUAUGCUCAGGACGAACGCUGGCGGCGCGCCUAACACAUGCAAGUCGAACGAGAGAGAAGGAGCUUGCUUCUUCGAUCGAGUGGCGAACGGGUGAGUAACGCGUGAGGAACCUGCCUCAAAGAGGGGGACAACAGUUGGAAACGACUGCUAAUACCGCAUAAGCCCACGGGUCGGCAUCGACCAGAGGGAAAAGGAGCAAUCCGCUUUGAGAUGGCCUCGCGUCCGAUUAGCUAGUUGGUGAGGUAACGGCCCACCAAGGCGACGAUCGGUAGCCGGACUGAGAGGUUGAACGGCCACAUUGGGACUGAGACACGGCCCAGACUCCUACGGGAGGCAGCAGUGGGGAAUAUUGCACAAUGGGGGAAACCCUGAUGCAGCGACGCCGCGUGGAGGAAGAAGGUCUUCGGAUUGUAAAC